CAUAUUCCAUAAUUAAUAUUCAAUACAUUAAUUAAUAUUCAAAUUAAAAAUAAAUCGAACUAUAAUUCAAAUUUCCAUCCGUAAGACUGUAAUUUAAGAAAUAAGAUUCACCUUAAAUCUAAGAAUACAAUCCUACAUUUUUAAAUCGAACUAUAAAAUUAUAUAAGAAAUAAUGCAUAAAAUUAUAAAUCUAACAAUUAUAAAAAUGAAAAAGUAAUAGAACCUUGUUACCUUGUUAUAGAAGAUCUUUUUAAGCUUCCGACAAAUGAAAUGACAAAUCCCUAAUUAACACUCAAGCGGAAAGCGUAGUCACUAGUCAACCUAAAAAAAUUCAGAAGCAUCUGUAUAAAAAAAAACAGCAUGGGAACUCUCAAGGGAAAAACACUUCUUUGAUAAUGUGAGAAAAUGGUUUUCACAAAUUAUCUCUAUGAUUAUGGAGGAUUAGGUGGGAAAACUAUAUACCAAAGACUCACUUAGUAGUUUGCCACUUUAUUCUGAGCAUAAUAAUGCAGCAGAUUGAAUUCAAGUCACAUAAUAAUGAAAUCCAAAAUUCAAAACAAAUCAUCUCAUUUGAUUGAAAUCUGGCAUCUUAUACUGUUAUUGAUUGGUGAUCGAUCUUGUGUGUUUACUAUAGAUAGUCUACUUAUUUCCUUUCAACUUGAUCAUUCUGAAAGAAAAUAAUUCUAAAACAACAUCACAACAUUUAUUUUAUACUUCAUAUUGUGUUAUUCUAUUAUUCUUCUUUUCAGAAUUUUAGUGGUGGUAAUAAUUUUUGGAAUAAAUAAUUAUAUUUACCUGUCAAAUGCCAGGUACCAACUGUAAUCGAUUUUCCAAUGCAUAACAAUUCUUGGGAAGUCUUUAGAUCUUCACCUAGGUUGUUGAGGGCAGACCGCAGACAGACACAGACACACAGUCACACACGCACUGACGCACACCAAUUUGAUCCCGCCUGAAGAUGGUAGUUAAUAGUUUGGGGGUAUGUUAUUGAUCUUGGACUCCUUGUGUACUAGAAACAACUUAUAUAGAAAGCAACGGAGGGAGAAAUCGUGAGGUGGAUGGGUCAUGCGAGUUGGGAGGAGAGAUUGGGGAAGAAAUUGAAGGAGGAGGAGGAGAAAUCGAUAGUUUUGGGGAAGAAGAUUGGGGGAAAGAAAUUUAUAUAUUAACCCUUAAAAAUAUUAAUAUAUUGUGAAAAUUAUACUAAACCCCCUAUAAAAAAUUUAAUUACAUAUAGGUCCUCCAAAAAUUU
rnacentral:lncRNA from 1 species